UACGUAGGCAGCAAGCGUUGUUCGGAGUUACUGGGCGUAAAGGGUGUGUAGGCGGUUUUCUAAGUCUGGUGUGAAAUCUCCCGGCUCAACUGGGAGGGUGCGCCGAAAACUGGAAGGCUAGAGUGCGGGAUGGGAGAGUGGAAUUCCUGGUGUAGCGGUGAAAUGCGCAGAUAUCAGGAGGAACACCGGUGGCGAAGGCGGGUCUCUGGGCCGUAACUGACGCUGAGGAGCGAAAGCGUGGGGAGCGAACAGG
rnacentral:rRNA from 1 species